GAUGAACGCUGGCGGCGUGCCUAAUACAUGCAAGUCGAGCGAACGGACGAGAAGCUUGCUUCUCUGAUGUUAGCGGCGGACGGGUGAGUAACACGUGGAUAACCUACCUAUAAGACUGGGAUAACUUCGGGAAACCGGAGCUAAUACCGGAUAAUAUUUUGAACCGCAUGAUUCAAAAGUGAAAGACGGUCUUGCUGUCACUUAUAGAUGGAUCCGCGCUGCAUUAGCUAGUUGGUAAGGUAACGGCUUACCAAGGCAACGAUGCAUAGCCGACCUGAGAGGGUGAUCGGCCACACUGGAACGGAGACACGGUCCAGACUCCUACGGGAGGCAGCAGUAGGGAAUCUUCCGCAAUGGGCGAAAGCCUGACGGAGCAACGCCGAGUGAGUGAUGAAGGUCUUCGGAUCGUAAAACUCUGUUAUUAGGGAAGAACAGAUGUGUAAGUAACUGUGCACAUCUUGACGGUACCUAAUCAGAAAGCCACGGCUAACUACGUG
rnacentral:rRNA from 1 species